AUCAAGUGAGACUCCCCGCCGAACUUAAGCAUAUUAGUAAGCGGAGGAAAAGAAACAAACGUGGAUUCCCUUAGUAGCUGCGAGCGAAGAGGGAGAAGCCCAUCACUGAAUCCCAAAGGCCUCGCCUUUAGGGAAAUGUAGUGUUUGAGAGGGUUCUCAUACCGGUGGGAGAAAAGUCCUUCGAGUCCAAGUUCAUCUUGAACGAGGCCACGGUCCCGAGAGGGUGCCAGCCCCGUAUUUGACCGAAGUCUUCCAUCGGUGAACUUCUCCUCAGAGUCGGGUUGCUUGAGAGUGCAGCCCUAAGUAGGUGGUAAACUCCAUCUAAGGCUAAAUACAACCACGAGACCGAUAGUGAACAAGUACCGUGAGGGAAAGUUGAAAAGAACUUUGAAGAGAGAGUUCAAGAGUACGUGAAACCGUUCAGGGGUAAACGGAAAAGACCUGAAAUUCCUAUUGAAGAGAUUCACGGCUUUGCGCUCAUAUUUCCGAUCUACUCUUGACCGGUCGGGCUUCUUUUUUUUCCCUCGAUCAGUUCUCCGUAGCUGAGUCGAUGGGUUGAGUCGCCGGUCUAUUUGAGUUAGUCGGAGGGCGAAAGACUGCACUUCUCUUUCUAAAAACAAAAAAAGGACGUCGCGAUCCGUUGGCGUGUGAUCAUAAAACAAAGGGCUCCGACCGAAGCGCCUGGGGCCAGGCCGAGCCUUCCUUCUUCACCUGUGGAAAGUCCGUGCUCACUUUUCCAUUCCUGUAAACUCGUGUUCAAUUUCUCUUGGGGCAGGUUUCGAAGUUAAACCACUGAUCCGCGGCGAUUCAGUUUUGGGCUCUUAUCCGACCCGUCUUGAAACACGGACCAAGGAGUUUAGCGUGUACGCGAGUCAAUGAGUGUACACUAAACUUAAAGGCGAAACAAAAGUGAAGGCUUCUCUCCGGAGAGCUGAGGGAGGAUGUGAUGACUCGCUCAAAGAGCCUGGUUUUGGUGGGGACCGGUCUCUUGUGGUUUCCGGUGGGCUUUUUUGCUUGUCGGGCCGCACGGAGGCCCCCCUUAUCGCGCCAGGCACACAGGCAGUCACUCCGCACUCCCGGGGCGUUCUUCUCUCACCGCGAGAGUGGGCGCACCCAGAGCGUACACGCUGAUACCCGAAAGAUGGUGAACUAUGCCUGGCCAGGAUGAAGCCAGGGGAAACCCUGGUGGAGGUCCGAAGCGAUUCUGACGUGCAAAUCGAUCGUCGGAGCUGGGUUUAGGGGCGAAAGACCAAUCGAAUCAUCUAGUAGCUGGUUCCCUCUGAAGUUUCCCUCAGGAUAGCUUGCUUUCAGAGAAAAAUGUUGAGUCUCAUCCGGUAGAGCGAAUGAUUAGAGGCCUUGGGGUCGGAAUGACCUCAACCUAUUCUCAAACUCCAAAUAAAUGAGAUUUCCGGCUUGCUUGUGAAAUGAAGCCGCUGAAAUUCGGAUCUAGAAAGUCAAGUGGGCCAAUACUGGUAAGCAGAACUGGCGCUGUGGAAUGAACCAAACGCCGAGUUAAGGUGCCUAAAUUGAUGCUCAUGUGAAACCAUGAAAGGUGUUGGUUGCUCAAGACAGCAGGACGGUGACCAUGGAAGUCGGAAUCCGCUAAGGAGUGUGUAACAACUCACCUGCCGAAGCAACUAGCCCUGAAAAUGGAUGGCGCUGAAGCGUUGUACCUAUACUCGGCCGUCAAUGGCAAAUAUAAUGGCGGGGAGGAGGGCCCACAAAGCCCUUCUCAACCCGAGCCCAUUACGCUUUGACGAGUAAGAGGGUCGCGGCGAUGAGCGUAGAAGGGCAUGGACGUGAGUCCGCCUGGAGCCGUCGUCGGUGCAGAUCUUGGUGGUAGUAGCAAAUACUCCAACGAGGCCCUGGAGGACUGAUGUGGAGAAGGGUUUCUUGUGAACAGCCUUUGCACAAGAGUCAGUCGAUCCUAAGCCCUAGAAGAAAUCCGAAGCGAUGGGUUGCCGUUAAAUGACAAACUCAAAUGAUGAUCAUGAUGAUGAUGAUGAUGAUGACGGCUGAUUCGAAAAGAAAGUGAAGUGAAGUGAAGUGAAGUGAAGGUGUGAGAAGAGGGAGGCCUCUUUGAAAGAAACACGAAGGCACCUGUCAGGGCGAAAGGGAAUCCGGUUCUCAUUCCGGAACCCGGUAGCGGAACCGUUCCACAAUCGAGCUCUAUUUCCUCAAAAGUAAUGAGAACUCGUCAGGGCAACCUGUCAAGACCCGGAGAUGCCGUCGGGUGAUUCGGGGAGAGUUGUCUCUUCUCUGUAAGCGUUCGAGUUCCCUGGAAACCUCUAACAGUGAGAUAGGGUUUGGAACGCGAAGAGCACCGCAGUUACAGUGGUGUCCGAAUCCACCCCACGGACCUUGAAAAUCCGGGGGAGGGCUACGAGGAACCCGCGCCGGUUCGUACCCAUAUCCGCAGCAGGUCUCCAAGGUGAAAAGCCUCUAGUCGAUGGAAUAAUGUAGGUAAGGGAAGUCGGCAAAUUUGAUCCGUAACUUCGGG
rnacentral:rRNA from 1 species